AUUGAACGCUGGCGGCAGGCUUAACACAUGCAAGUCGAACGGAGUGGCGGACGGGUGAGUAAUGCCUAGGAAUCUGCCUUGUAGUGGGGGAUAACGUCCGGAAACGGGCGCUAAUACCGCAUACUAUCAGAUUAGCCUAGGUCGGAUUAGCUAGUUGGUGGGGUAAAGGCUCACCAAGACGACGAUCCCUAGCUGGUCUGAGAGGAUGAACAGCCACACUGGGACUGAGACACGGACCAGACUCCUACGGGAGGCAGCAGUGGGGAAUAUUGCGAAAUGGGCGCGAGCCUGACACAGCCAUGCCGCGUGAAUGAAGAAGGCCUUCGGGUUGUAAAGUUCUUUCGGUAGCGAGGCGUUAACUACAGAAGAAGCACCGGCUAACUCCGUGCCAGCAGCCGCGGUAAUUC
rnacentral:rRNA from 1 species